GGGUUGUGAGGUUAAGCGACUAAGCGUACACGGUGGAUGCCCUGGCAGUCAGAGGCGAUGAAGGACGUGCUAAUCUGCGAAAAGCGUCGGUAAGGUGAUAUGAACCGUUAUAGCCGGCGAUGUCCGAAUGGGGAAACCCAGUGUGAUUCGUCACACUAUCGUUAACUGAAUACAUAGGUUAACGAGGCGAACCGGGGGAACUGAAACAUCUAAGUACCCCGAGGAAAAGAAAUCAACCGAGAUUCCCCCAGUAGCGGCGAGCGAACG
rnacentral:rRNA from 1 species